UUCGGAUCUUUGAGAGCGGCGCACGGGUGCGGAACACGUGUGCAACCUGCCUUUAUCAGGGGGAUAGCCUUUCGAAAGGAAGAUUAAUACCCCAUAAUAUAAUGACUGGCAUCAGUUAUUAUUGAAAACUCCGGUGGAUAGAGAUGGGCACGCGCAAGAUUAGAUAGUUGGUGAGGUAACGGCUCACCAAGUCUGCGAUCUUUAGGGGGCCUGAGAGGGUGAUCCCCCACACUGGUACUGAGACACGGACCAGACUCCUACGGGAGGCAGCAGUGAGGAAUAUUGGACAAUGGGUGAGAGCCUGAUCCAGCCAUCCCGCGUGAAGGACGACGGCCCUAUGGGUUGUAAACUUCUUUUGUAUAGGGAUAAACCUACUCUCGUGAGAGUAGCUGAAGGUACUAUACGAAUAAGCACCGGCUAACUCCGUGCCAGCAGCCGCGGUAAUACGGAGGGUGCAAGCGUUAUCCGGAUUUAUUGGGUUUAAAGGGUCCGUAGGCUGAUUUGUAAGUCAGUGGUGAAAUCUCACAGCUCAACUGUGAAACUGCCAUUGAUACUGCAAGUCUUGAGUGUUGUUGAAGUAGCUGGAAUAAGUAGUGUAGCGGUGAAAUGCAUAGAUAUUACUUAGAACACCAAUUGCGAAGGCAGGUUACUAAGCAACAACUGACGCUGAUGGACGAAAGCGUGGGGAGCGAACAGGAUUAGAUACCCUGGUAGUCCACGCCGUAAACGAUGCUAACUCGUUUUUGGGUUUUCGGAUUCAGAGACUAAGCGAAAGUGAUAAGUUAGCCACCUGGGGAGUACGUUCGCAAGAAUGAAACUCAAAGGAAUUGACGGGGGCCCGCACAAGCGGUGGAUUAUGUGGUUUAAUUCGAUGAUACGCGAGGAACCUUACCAAGGCUUAAAUGGGAAUUGACAGGUUUAGAAAUAGACUUUUCUUCGGACAAUUUUCAAGGUGCUGCAUGGUUGUCGUCAGCUCGUGCCGUGAGGUGUUAGGUUAAGUCCUGCAACGAGCGCAACCCCUGUCACUAGUUGCCAUCAUUCAGUUGGGGACUCUAGUGAGACUGCCUACGCAAGUAGAGAGGAAGGUGGGGAUGACGUCAAAUCAUCACGGCCCUUACGCCUUGGGCCACACACGUAAUACAAUGGCCAGUACAGAGGGCAGCUACACAGCGAUGUGAUGCAAAUCUCGAAAGCUGGUCUCAGUUCGGAUUGGAGUCUGCAACUCGACUCUAUGAAGCUGGAAUCGCUAGUAAUCGCGCAUCAGCCAUGGCGCGGUGAAUACGUUCCCGGGCCUUGUACACACCGCCCGUCAAGCCAUGGAAGUCUGGGGUACCUGAAGUCGGUGACCGU
rnacentral:rRNA from 1 species